UACGGAGGGUGCGAGCGUUGUCCGGAAUCACUGGGCGUAAAGGGCGCGUAGGCGGCGCGGGAAGUCAUCGGUGAAAGUUCAGGGCUCAACUCUGAAUCGGCCGGUGAUACUCUCGUGCUCGAGCACUGUAGAGGCAGGUGGAAUUCCGGGUGUAGCGGUGGAAUGCGUAGAGAUCCGGAAGAACACCGGUGGCGAAGGCGGCCUGCUGGGCAGUAGCUGACGCUGAUGCGCGACAGCGUGGGGAGCAGACAGG
rnacentral:rRNA from 1 species